rnacentral:rRNA from 1 species
GCUAAACGCGAAGAACCUUACCUGGCCUUGACAUCCGCGGAACUCGGCAGAAAUGCCUUGGUGCCUUCGGGAAUCGCGAGACAGGUGCUGCAUGGCUGUCGUCAGCUCGUGUCGUGAGAUGUUGGGUUAAGUCCCGCAACGAGCGCAACCCUUGUCCUUAGUUGCCAUCAUUCAGUUGGGAACUCUAAGGAGACUGCCGGUGACAAACCGGAGGAAGGUGGGGAUGACGUCAAGUCCUCAUGGCCCUUACGGCCAGGGCUACACACGUACUACAAUGGUCGGUACAGAGGGUUGCUAAACCGCAAGGUGGAGCCAAUCCCAGAAAGCCGAUCCCAGUCCGGAUCAGAGUCUGCAACUCGACUCCGUGAAGUCGGAAUCGCUAGUAAUCGCGGAUCAGCUAUGCCGCGGUGAAUACGUUCCCGGGUCUUGUACACACCG